AUUGAACGCUGGCGGCAGGCCUAACACAUGCAAGUCGAGCGGAUGAAGGGAGCUUGCUCCUGGAUUCAGCGGCGGACGGGUGAGUAAUGCCUAGGAAUCUGCCUGGUAGUGGGGGAUAACGUCCGGAAACGGGCGCUAAUACCGCAUACGUCCUGAGGGAGAAAGUGGGGGAUCUUCGGACCUCACGCUAUCAGAUGAGCCUAGGUCGGAUUAGCUAGUUGGUGGGGUAAAGGCCUACCAAGGCGACGAUCCGUAACUGGUCUGAGAGGAUGAUCAGUCAACCUGGAACUGGAAAACGGCCCAGCCCCCUAGGGGAGGCAGCAGUGGGGAAUAUUGGAAAAUGGGCGAAAGCCUGAUCCACCCAUGCCGCGGGUGUGAAGAAGGUCUUCGGUUUUUAAAGCCCUUUAAGUUGGGAGGAAGGGAAGUAAGUUAAAACCUUGCUGUUUGGACGUUACCAAAAAAAUAAGCACCGGCUAACUUCGG
rnacentral:rRNA from 1 species